ACAAUUCGUUCAAAAAGAACGAAUCGUUCGCGACCGAUACAACACUAGUGUAGCGUGUUUGAGGCCUUUAAAGUUUUAAGACGGUACACACUUUCCCUGCGCCAUACGUCGUUGGGAACCCUCGACAGAACAAAUUCUUUUUGCCACACACGUUCACACAAAGAAAUAAAUGAGAGGAAGGAGUUUGGGCCUACAUUUUUCUUUGUCGGUUUAGCUGGCUGCCGAAGUCGAGGAGCCGUUCACGCAGUCGAUGUGAUUUAACGAUGACGUCAUCUCGCAGAGCAACGUGUCGCCAUUUUGAGAGUGGGGACACGCACAGACGCAAGGAGGCGAAACAACUUAAAAUUAGCGUGUAUUGGCCUGCAAAUCUGCCCAUACAAAGUCGCAGCUGAUAGCUGGAUAAACAAUCCAAAGGAAUUGCUUGCAGUGAAGUUCGGAAACAUCUACAACUACCUCAUAAAGUCACCAAAUUAUGGAAGACCCGGUGCUUUGUCGGGGAGCAGCUCCAAAGAUGGCCUAUACAAGUCCAAAGAAAGAAAACGUGUGAAUUUUUUGAGACAAAUGCAGCAACUGCAAGGGGCUGACAGCAGUCUGAGGAAGCGGGGCGCAGCUCCAAAGGUGGGCCAUACAAGUCCAAAGCCAUCAAACGGCGCCGAGAGGAAAGUGAGGACCGCUCCAAAGAUUUCAUGACCUCAUCUUAAGCAACAAUUUCCUAGGAGGGUAAUUAAAAGACUUAUCAUCACAAACGCAAAGUGGUUCAUGAACGCUGCCAUUCAGUGUUUUGAGUAACACACCUGACCUGAGGAACUAUUUGAUCCUAUUAGCCCAAAAAGAGAAUUAGCCCACCAACGUCAGAGAGAACGUUUGGCACCUAGUGAAAGGUAAACAUGUAACCCAUACUCGCCGCUUUCAACCAAUGUGUGCAUGUUUUGGAAGUCUCGCCACGGGGAAGGAAUUGGAGCAUACCUGUAGUGAUAGUAGGAUCAUAGCUAGAUCCAGUGUUGUUCAGUUAUCAUAAGAAAAUUCAACUAAUCUACAAAUGUAGACAAAAUGAACUCAAUACAAAUAGUUUUGUUCCUGUGUUGCGCUAGAUUAGAGAAAUGCGCAAGGAAUAAAUGAAUAAAUAAUAAUAAACUUGUUUAUUGACUUUCACUUUUGCCAUAAGUUACUUUUGCUUUUAACAAAAGGAAUGGUCUGUCAAUCAAAUAGCAUUGGGAGGGACUGAAACUAAACUUUAAAUAGAUUAAAUGCAUUUAAACAACAAAUUUGUUUACAAAUCAUAAGGUAUCGACAAAUAAAGAAUUGCCCAAAUAAAGUUUGAGACAAAACUAAUAAUUUGAUAAUUCCCUGGUAUCGACGUAUUGCCAUCAAGCGCAGAAUACCUCUCUGGCUUAUUGACAUGAGUCGCCGUGCAUUUUGUGCGAUGUAGAAUAAUGGUGCCACCAGGGGGUGGCCAGGCCUGACCACGGCUCCCCCCGAUGAAUUUGUUGGCCAUUUGUAGUAGCUGCGGAACUCAAAAUGUUGACUGGACUUUUAUGGACUAGGGAUGUCCCGAUCCAGGUUUUUGCACUUCCGAUCCGAUACCGGCCUAUCUGAGCAUGUAUUAAAGUUUAAAGUUAUUUAGCUUCCUUACUUAGUUGUCAGACUUAUUUUGAAAAGGGUUUUAGUACUCUUGAUAACAACUAGCCAGCUGAAUUAGAUGAGUUUGAAUAACACACAACGGUUGGUAACAAAAACUGACCUGUUUAUUCAGUGACAAACACAAAACAUUAUAAAUAACAAACAAAAAUGGCAUAGUCAGUCAGUGAAACGUCCAAAUAACAUUGUUAACUGUCUUAAAAAAAUAAAACACACAAACAACCUCAGUGGAAAAUCCCACAAACCCCCCAAGCUAUUAGAUGCUUUUAAUGUUUUGUGCAUUAGUUACAAAUAUUGUAUAAAAAGCCUCUCAGGUUUAAAUAAACGACUAUUUAAGUAUCAAGUUAACAUUUUAAAACUGUAAAUAAAAUACUCAAGUCCCCAUUCUGUAUCAGCAGCUUUAAACUACAUUCAAUUCAUUUAAUUUUGUGAAUCAACUGUUAAAGUUGUUCCCGUUAUUCCAUAAUUUCCCUUCUGUCUACUUUCGACAUAUGAAAGUUUUAAAACUGUUUUGAAGAUCGAUUCAAGUCAAGAUUUUGCCGAUUUAGGAGUAUUUUAGAUAAAAAGUUAAUUAGGUUCGCUUGGAAGGUUCACAACAGCCUACUAGGGAAGUCUUCUGCUUUAAGAUGGCGGCUGUUUACUAACGCAUCUAGUUUUCAAUACUUCAAUGUUGCUAACGCAGUCGAGUCUGUCGUUUUGCAUCUAGUUCUAUAUACAUAUGAUAUCUAUUAUCUCCAGUAAAACGUUGACGUAGUUUGUAGCGGCUGUCAGCAGCUGUCAUGUAUUCUUGUGUUUUUUAUCCAGCGGCAUGAGUUGAGCUAAAGCCGUGAGUUGAGCAUUGGCAUUACCCGGGUCUAUGACAAGCAUUAUGUUGACUUUCGGAACGCAAUGCGGUCCGUUUCUCAUUGCGUCCUGAAGACCGCGCUGUGUAUUAGUUCCGCUUUACUUGACAUAUUUCAAUAAUCGGAAUUUAGAUGUUUGUGAAUCGUUCUCUAAUCCUCCACGGCCAAAUCGCUCAAGGAUGUAAUGACGGCUGGGCAUGUUGUACAGUGGUUCUAAGUGUUGGAUGGUGCGUCUUUACUCACGAGAGAUAAUGGCUCGUCAUCCAGAAUGAAUUCUUCGGCAAUGACUCUUGUUAUUCCCUGGGCUUUGGGACUGUCGAGUGCCAGUUUGUCACGCAUAGCAAAAGUUUCUGCCAGUGUUAGUUGUGUAGGACCUGAAAUUAUGGCUUUUAUUUUUUGGUGUGCCACCUCAAGGUUUUAAGUGGCCCCAUUUAGCCACCCCUAUGAAGAAUUUCUGGAGGCGCCACUGAUUUGGAAUUGGCAGUAUAGCGCUACUCCAAAACCUUGUGGUUGUUUCCCGAUUUUCUUGCCUGUGAGUGAACGAGGGCAGGUGUUUUCCAUUUACGUCUUUCGCUCCCCCUCGGCCCACUUUCCCUCCGCCCUCCAAGUGGCCUUCGUGUGACGUCAUAGCAAGUGCUUAGGGCAAGUGAGCAAGGGGAAAUCAAACCGUGAUUGGAAAGCAGCCAGAGAGAGACGCUAGGAAGAACUACGUAGAAUGAAUAAUAUCAGUGGAAAUGUAUUACGUUACACAAGCUCCUUUUUCGGCUUGUUGUUAAUACUUUUGUAUGCAAAUCUGACGUUAGUUUAUUUUAUUCUAUUUUUUUUUUAAACACGGGGUUUUGACAGUUGCAGUCAUAUUUUCGGGAUCAAAGCACCAUAUGCUGGAACAGCAAUCCGCCUCAAAAUUUCAUGCCGGUACGCCGUUCAUCCCUGCUAAUUACUCUUGCAUUGAGGUAACAGAGUCAAUUACUUUUUGGGAGAAGUAAUUUGUAUCUAACAAAUUACUUCUUUUAAAGUAAGAUUAACAACACUGAUUGUAAUAGUUCAACACCCGUUUAUUAUAACAUACCAUAUAACAAACCAUUACCGCUUCUUGUAAAAAAGAACUUCAAUGGUUCCGUUAUUUUUGGCUGCCUGAGUGCAGUGAUGGGAAGACACCACGUCGGCGUUCACGGACUCCACCCUAGGUACACGGAAGGAAGGAAACUGAAAUUGGCCUCUUUUUAUGGCAACUAACUAGUUGGCGGUAAACGGCAAAAUCAUGGAGAUUUUCCAUGUUUCUAAAAAUAACAGACCAGGAAUCAUCAAAUUUAGUCCAGCUGCUGUCGAGUUGGUUUUGGCAAAAUGCGAUGUAGUGGUUUGCCUCCUCUUUUUUGUUUUUCACAAUACGAAUGUAAAUCCAAUGCUCUAUUGUUGCAUACAGAUCAUAUACGACGUCACCUAAAAAGGGUCAACAAUUAGUAGCGACAAUGAGGAGCUGAACAUUUAUCCUGAGACCGGGAAACGCACCUUCCACGGUCGGCAGUGUGAGGCCUGUUCGGGGAAAAGUGAGAGUACCGGAAAGUUUUCUGGAUACGGGCGCAUACCAGUGGGUCCAAUUAAUAUGGAUGACCAUAAUGUCCGGGGCCCGGUUUAAGCAGCCCAUCUGUUUGUCGGACAGCUCUGCGGUGUACUGCCUCCCCAAGCUUUUGAUGGGCUGUUCUACGAGAAGUGGAAUCUUCUCCCCCCCCCAACAACAAAGGUGCUGCUGUCAUUCCUGACCGCUCUCCUGAUUGACAGGUUGCGAGACUUGGAGGGCUUGAUCUUCAUUCUUGCCCAUGACAUCAGUUCAUCAAUCCUUCUCAGCAGUCUUGAUGUGCAUGCUGCUGUCUGGAGGAGGGUGGUGACAUCGUCCAUAUAGCUCCUUAGUGGGGGAAGCCUUUGACCAGUUGGCAGUUUGAUCCCUCCUACCAUUUGCCUUGCACCGAUGAGGAUUAUUUCAAACGCUGUAACAAACAGUAUUGGUGAAAUGGCACAGCCCAUCGCAAUUCCAACUUCAAGCCGCUGCCACCCCGUGAUGAAGUCUUCUACGGAGAAACACAUCUGCAGGUUGCCGAAGUACUGUGCUACCAUGUUAUUGACGCAGGUGGGCAUGUGGAAGAAGUCCAUGGCAUAAUUGAUCAGCUGGUGCGGGACUGACAAGUACGCAUUGGCCAGGUCAAGCCAUACGACGUGCAGGUCAGUCUUCUCCUGUUUAGCCUUCUGGAUCUGGUCCCAGAUCAUUGUGGAGUGUUCCACGCAUCCGGGGAAUCCUGGCACUCCUGCCUUUUGGCAGUCGGUAUCGAUGUAACCAUUCUCGAGCAGGUAGUUGGCCAUCCUUCUUGCUAGUACUGAGAAGAUCUUCCCUUCUACGUUGAGAAGGGCGAUGCUACGGAACUGGCCGAUGACUUUGGAGUUUGCUUCUUUGUGAAUGAAAACUGCUACAGCUCUUUGCCACUCGGUUGGAAUGGGUUGCUUUUUCCAAGCAGUUCUCAUUAGGUACCAUAGCAGCUCUAGCACCUUGGGACAUUUCUUAUAGAGCUUGUAGGGAACUCCAUUAGGGCCUGGUGCAGAAGAGGAUCUUGCCUUCUCCACAACUUGCCGGACCUUGCUGAGCUUUGGAGGCUUGAUGUCGAACUCAGCUGUCGGCUGUGCGGGCUGGGGUACGUAUACUGGAGUUCCUAAGGGGACACUCCUUCGAGAAUCGCUAUACUGGUCUCUAACAUGCUGUUCCAACUGCUCCCUGGUGGUUUCGAGCUUGCCACUCUUCUUUUCCUCCAGCAGCUGUCUGGCAUGCUUAAAGGGAUCCUUGAAGAAGCUACUUCGCUCCUUCUGCUUCCGCCUGUUGCGUUUCCGAAUGCGUUCCGCUCUACGAAGUAAAUCCAAUGCUCAAUUGUUGCGUAUAGAUCAUAUACGACGUCACCUAAAAAGGGUCAACAAUUAGUAGCAACAACGAGUAGCUGAAGCUUUAUCCUGAGACCGGGAAACGCACCUCCCACGGUCGGCAGUGUGAGGCUUGUGUGGGGAAAAGUGAGAGCACCGGAAAGUUUUCUGGAUUUGGACACAUACCGGUGGGUCCAAUUAAGAUGGAUGACCAUAAUGUCCGGGGCCCGGCUUAAGCAGGUGUCUGUGUCUUUGGGUGCAGAGCAGCUGCUGCAUAUCUGCAAGUCCAAAAAAAACCACCAAGUGGUUACAUAGAUGGGCGUAACACGCGUAACGAGGCGUCGAUGUCUUACCUGACCAUCCGGCUGUAACAAUUAUCUGAGCAUUUUGUUCAGGUUCAGCCUCAGCUUUGUUGUAUAAUCCUGUGAAAGGAACGUUCGUUAUCCAACUUGGCUGCGGGCUUAUUUUUGUUUGGUGCAUGCGUCUGACCUGCACAAAAGGAACAGUAAGCUGGAUGUACCACUCGCGCCUCUCGGAGGUCUUUGGAGAGUCCGAGCAUGGACAGGAAUUGGUUUCCCUCCAGUCGGUGGUAAAAAUUUCUGCGGCCAACAAAUUAUUUGUAUGUUAUUUUUCGUGUAAUGAUUCGCACCUAGAAUGCUUAUUGAGUGCUUACACACCUCUCACGAUGGCGUUUUCCAACUGGCUGGCGUUCACUUUAUGGCUACAAAGAGAAUUUUUCAAAUUCAACUUGGGUACAUUUGGGAGACACGUCCUAUUGAUAGAAGGUCAUCUUCUGUUAAUUUCGGGGACAUGUCCUGGUGAUAUCAGGUCAAUGCAAUGUAAAUGCCCUUGAAAAUGAAUGGUACGUACAUGGCCAUCAAUGGAAUCAUAUUCGUCAAUGGAAUCCAUCUACAAUGGCAUCAAUUGAAUCGACCUACAGUUCAUCACAAAAGUGAGAACACCCCUCGCAUUUCUGCAGAUACGUAUAAGCAAAACCUCAAUUUGAACUAUUCAAGAACAUAGGAUGUACUUUGAAAUUGAAGAUUAUAUUAACAUUGACUUCUUGUUUUUUUUUUUUAAAUACGAGUAACAUACGUUAACAAAAACUAAAUGCAAAUGACAUACCUUGUGCACAGUGAAAUGGAAUAUAUUUUGAAGAAAACAUUGACUUUUUUUUUUUUUUUUUUUUUAAAUGAUAAAGAAAUAAGUCAAAAGUUCACAUUAACAUGGAAGGUUAAAAUAAAAUCAAUUCUUUCCUUUCUCUUGAACUGAUCCAUUUCCCGUUGCAUUUCCCCAUUAAUUUAACAAGCAUGUUCUUUCCCCCCUUCUACAGUGGUACCUCUACAUACGAAUUUAAUUCGUUCCAGGACCUUGUUUGUAAGUCGAAAUGGUCGUAUGUCGAGCAGGAUUUUCCCAUAGGAAUACAUUAUAAUUCCAUUAAUUCGUUCCAAAGCCUAAAAACAUACACUAAAUUCUUAAUAAAUACUGCUGGCACUGUUACAAAUGGCAAUUAAACAUAGAAAAACAAAUAAGUUAUAAAUGAAUAAUAUAAGAAGAAGAAGAAGAAUUAAUAAUUAUUCCUGAAAAUAAUGUAACGAAUCGGAUUCUAAUAUGGCGGACACUUUUUACUGUCCCUGAACGCACCGCGAAGGUGCGCACCGACCUAUCUCCAGUGAGAUAAUACUUUCGUUUUCCUGAGAGCAGUCAACUGCUUAAGACAAUGAGCAUUUUGUGUUGGAUAAGUUCUUAAAUAAAUGAUAAAAACGUGACAAAGCUGGCGAUUUCCUUGGCAAUGUUACCACAAUAAUAAUUGUCACCUUAACUUAUAAAUAGUGGCGAACAGUGGUCAUAAGAGGAUCAUGGAGCUGUAUUGUUGAGCCAGUUCAGGGACGCGCACCCCAAGCUCAUAUUUUUCUAUAACUUGCAUCUUCAUUUCAAAGGUAAGCAUCACUUUUUUCCUUGUUUCUCCAACUGUAUCAACUUUUUUUGAAAACUGUGUUGAUUUCUCACAUAAGAAAAUCCACCGUGGGUUCGUUUGCAGUGCUGUCAUGUCGUCGUAUUUCGAGCAACUCGUCGGAUGUAGAAACAAAUGGCGGCUCAAAUUUUACGUCGGAUGUCGAAAAGAUCGUGUGUCGAAGUGAUCGUAUGUAGAGGUACCACUGUAUUUGUUUAUCCAAAAGAACAGAGAGUAGUCUGGCUGAAAACCGCACCUCUCAGGCCACUCUUCCACUCGUCUUAGUCCCCUGUUUUGCAGUCUAAUCUCUUUGGGAAAGAAACCGUGCAUUUGAACCAAUCAGAGCUAGCUAUCCUUGCUGAUCACAUGUCAGCCGAUUGAACAGACAGCAGAGUCCUGGUUGUUUUUUUUUUUUUGCUGCCUGCAUGUGCUCAGCGACGCAACUUGUCAGAUACAGAGAGAGGCGCUGGGAAGAACUACGUAGUAUGAAUAAUAUCAGUGGAAAUGGAUUACGUUUAGAGCUGAAACGAAUACUCGAGCAACUCGAGUAACUCGAGUUUAAAAACUGAUCCGAGUAAUUUUAUUCACCUCGAGUAAUCGUUUAUUUUGACAGCUCUAAGCAUCACGUUUUGCUCGGACUACUUUUAAUGCGGGACAACGCGCUGAUGUCACGUGCGUAGAGGAAGAAGCAAAAAAAAAAAACUUACUGCAGCCGACAACCGCUACAAACGACGCCGACGUUGCUAAAUACUAGCCCGCUCAUGCUACGUUAGUUGCAGGUGGCGUCCAGUGAGUCUCAUAGAGAUCACAUGUAUGUUGAACUAGAUGCGCAAUGACAGACUAGGCCGCGUCUGGGCAGCGUUAGCAAACAGCCGCCAUCUUAAAGCAGUAGAGCGCUAAGCGCUAAUAAAGAGCGCUAAACGCUAAUAUACUGUAUAAGAUUAACGUUACUCACCUUACGUUAGCACUGCGGAGGGCUAGGUUUCAAUUAAUUAAGACCGCUUUCGAUGCGUGGCUAACGUGUCUUACAUACAGGCUAUAACAUAACAUAGCGUUGUGGAGUGAUGAGCAUGUCAAAUAAAAACUCAACAAUGCUAACUAUCAAUUUUAGCUCAGUAAUCAUUGCUGGAUAAAACACCAAGUAGCACUAGUCCCUGAUGUGCUCCAAUACAGCCUGUAUCAUACAUUUAUUCUGAACAGUGCAAAAACUUAAAUCCUAUCAGGACUUACAGUUUAGACUAACUUAAAACUUAACUAGAACUUAAAAAUGGCUUGACACAAAUAGAAAUUUAAUUGAAAAACGUAGGAAAAAAUCCUAACUUUUAAGUGAUGUGUGUUAUCAAGCGUAAAGGCA